rnacentral:rRNA from 1 species
UACGUAGGAUGCAAGCGUUGUCCGGAAUUAUUGGGCGUAAAGAGCGCGCAGGCGGUCUAUCAAGUCAGAUGUGAAAUCUCCCGGCUUAACCGGGAGGGGUCAUUUGAAACUGGUAGACUAGAGUACAGCAGAGGAUAGCGGAAUUCCCGGUGUAGUGGUGAAAUGCGUAGAGAUCCGGAGGAACACCAGUGGCGAAGGCGGCUGGCUGGACCUGACCUGACGCUGAGGCGCGAAGGCGUGGGGAGCGAACGGG